rnacentral:rRNA from 1 species
CGGACGGGUGAGUAACACGUAGGCWACCUGCCCUCUGGACUGGGAUAACUACCGGAAACGGUAGCUAAUACCAGAUAAUUCACUUCUUCGCAUGGRGGAGUGAGGAAAGACGGAGCAAUCUGUCACCAGAGGAUGGGCCUGCGGCGCAUUARCUAGUUGGAGAGGUAACGGCUCCCCAAGGCGACGAUGCGUAGCCSACCUGAGAGGGUGAUCGGCCACACUGGGACUGASACACGGCCCAGACUCCUACGGGAGGCAGCAGUAGGGAAUCUUCCGCAAUGGGCGAAAGCCUGACGGAGCAACGCCGCGUGAGUGAUGAAGGUUUUCGGAUCG